rnacentral:lncRNA from 1 species
ACCUUCAAGUAGAAAAUCUUCAAAACCCUAGCACUUCUCUCUGUCUCCAAUAUUGCAUAAAAUAAAGCGUACUCUAAAACUGUAGACGGCCAAGCAAUAUAUUUGCUAAGCCACCACACAAACCCUAGCCAACUAAAAUUAAUAAAAACCCUAAAUAAAAAUAGUAAAAUUCGUCUAAAAUCUGAACAGCCACGUUUUGGCCCAUAAGCUGCUCCAAAACUGGCCCAAUACAGCUAGAUUUAAUGUUUGGAAUAUUCUAAACACUUUUUCAGAAGUCCACGAACCCAUCCGAGGUCAUCUUGGGCUCCAAAAACGUCAUUUAAGCCCAAAAACGUCAUUUUCCAGCACUGCGCACUGCUUCUUUAUUUCAUCGCCAGAAAAUAACCGUUUGGCGGAAAAAUCCCAAAUUUUGAUACGAUCAAGCUAAGUGACUCAUGAACGUCCUCCAACUGGAAUUACUCUAAAAUUCGUCCAUUUGGUCUUGUUUUGCUCCAGAGGAAGUCGAAAGUCCUAUAUUAAAAAUACAAUUCAAAGUAUCAAAAUUCUUCUAAUAUAUUAACCAAAAUAUACUAAGAUUAGGGUAAAAUAUAUAAUAUAAAAUCUACUCAUCAAAUACCCCCAAACUUAGCUUUUUGCUUGUCCUCAAGCAAAACAAGACUCAAACAAAAAUAAAAACUUAACAAACUAACUAGCUAAAAUUAACUGACAAAAAUUUUCACCUUCAAAGUUGCAAUCCAUAGUAAAUUUUAAAAACUAGAACAUUUUUUCAAAAGUUCCAACUAAUCCCACCACAGAGUCUAAGCCAUUUAGAAUCAAUUAGAAAAGAAUUCACAAACUUCCUUUGGUGUAAAGUGAACCAACAUAAUUAAGGAGACUCGACUAAAACCCUUACCUCUCGUCCUUAUUUAUUUCACACAUAGUAACUUUAAAUAUAACUCUCUUUCUUUUUCUUUUUUUUUUCUUUUUCACUUUUUUUUUUUCAGUAAUAGUAGUGGUCGUGCAAUGUCGGUUUACUUAAGCUUUCGAUCAAACCCAUGUAGCGAGCUUUAGGUCAAUGACUCCCAAACCACUAGGGCUUUAGGGCACUAGGUGUAGAACACCCCUAAGGACUUAUUAACCCGAGCUGAAAAGGCUACGAAACCAACUAACCACCCUGCCCCAUGCCAAAACUCUACCGUUUGACGCGACAAUCACUGCUGAUUAGGCAGGACUGGCCCGGUUACUAGGCAAAACCUCGGGUGAGACAAUUAUUACUUUUUUUUUUCACACUAAUAACUGACUUUACUUAAAAUAAAAAUUAAAAAUUAAAAAUAAACUUAGACUAAAAACAAGUGUUUCAAUCUCACUCCCCACAAACCAUGUUGGUGUGAUGUGCAAAGUUUAAAGUAUAAUUCAUGAAUUAGUGUCUAAGCAACGAUAAAUAGAAAAGACUCUACUAUGGGAUUAAUCUUCACCAUGUCCAUUUGUUCUAACGUUUAAAAUAAUCUAUGGAUAUUAACUUAAAAAGAAUGAAAACUUUUAACUGACACAAAAAUUAAAAACCAAAAAUGUUAUUUUCCCACCCCCAAACUUAUUUUACACUUUGUCCUCAAGGUGUAGAAAAUAAAAGAAAUAUGAUAAAAAUGAAAUAAACUUAAACUAAAAUAUAAUAAUUAUAAAAGUGAAAAUGAUUAACAAAACUAAAACAAAGAAAGAUAGUACCUGGGCUUGACAAUGAAGUGGCUGGUUGAUAAAUGAAUGGCAAUACAAAACGCCAUGAACCCAUGCAUGGAGAACCGGCCCACAACCAAGGCCAUGUGCACGGCACAUGUGCACCAACUCCUAGCACCAACUUGUGAAAAGCAUUGGAUUCUCUUCUUGGAAAUGUGAAAAGUGGCGUGCAGCUGGCGUCUAUAGGAUUAUAUAAAAGAAACUAUGAGAUAUUUGAAUGGCAUUGGAUGCUAUGAGAGAUUUGAAUGGCAUGCAGCUGGCAUGUCGUGUGAAAAGUGGUGUGCGAUGUCUCAUGUCAGAAGAAGAAAAGUCCCUAUCAGCCCUCAGUUGUUUUGUCAGUCAUUACCACAGAGCCAACGGCUCUCUACCAAUGCAAAACCAUCCGUCUCGGGUAGUACGUGAAGCUGAAGAUAGGCACACGUGUUGCGCAUCCGUUCCACCACGCCUUAGGAUUCCAAAUAAAAGGUUUAGAUCAACCCAUUUGCCCAUAUCUCUCUCUUGCUCGCAGACCCCAUUUUGCUAAAAUGAAAGGACCUCUCUGUCUCUUGUUGGAAAUGUGCCCUAAAACCAAUCAUGUGAUGAUGCUUUACGGACAUUUCACAUGUUAAACUAAUCUAGUUUAAUAUAAAGGGCAAAGAUUAUUGUUUGAGCCGUCUCAUAUAAAUGUAUAUGCUUAAACGAUAAAGUCCAAGGAAUAUGUGAUUGGGAGAAUGUAAU